UAGAGCAUACACUAUUCAUAUUUACAAACCUUUUUUUAACUGGGCUUAUUUACAAAACUUCCGAUUCCAAUUUUUUUUAUUUUUCUUGUUAUUUUAAGAUUUGAACUUUACAAUUUCUCACAAUGGUAUAUAUAAUUAGAUUAGAAAAGUUUUACACAUAUUAUUUUAAAUAGUUUGAAACACUAAAUAUCAUUUUUGAAAAGCCUUUUUUUCAGAAAAAAAAACAUUAUAUAUCAUUUUCAAAAUAUAGUUUAACCUAUCAUUCAAAUUCACCAAUUGUUUGUAUUAUUUACUAAUCGUUAAUUUGGACUAUCU
rnacentral:lncRNA from 1 species